GUUAUGCAGAAUUCAAAGCACAGUGUCAAUCCCUAUAUCACUUUACAGGAGCAAUGAGCGUGUUUCCAUUUGUGGAGACACUUUAAAAUAUUUGAAUUCUGAUCAGAAUAAAGAAUCCGGUUGUUUAUGCUGUUCAGAAUUUCAAUAUUUUAAGUGUCUCCAUAAAUGGAAAUAUCACCAUUGCUUCCUUCUAAAGUGAUAUGGGAAUUGCCAUUGUGCUUUGAAUUAUGCAUUAU